GCAGUAUCGCGCAGGGUUUCUUCAUUUGAGCAGCGGCUGCUUGUUGCUCUGACAAACGAGGUAAGGCUUCUCGUCAGUGGGCCGGUACACAGUGGCGGGGGGGAUCGGAGGGAGAAGCAGCUUUUCACUGAC